GGCGACCGGGUGAGUAACACGUGACUAACCUACCUCCGAGUGGGGAAUAACUCCGGGAAACCGGGGCUAAUACCGCAUAACAUCGCAAGAUCAAAGCAGCAAUGCGCUUGGAGAGGGGGUCGCGGCUGAUUAGCUCGUUGGCGGGGUAACGGCCCACCAAGGCGAAGAUCGGUAUCCGGCCUGAGAGGGCGCACGGACACACUGGAACUGAAACACGGUCCAGACUCCUACGGGAGGCAGCAGUGGGGAAUUUUGCGCAAUGGGGGAAACCCUGACGCAGCAACGCCGCGUGGAGGAUGAAGCCCUUUGGGGCGUAAACUCCUUUCGACUCGGACGAUAAUGACGGUACGAGUGGAAGAAGCACCGGCUAACUCUGUGCCAGCAGCCGCGGUAAUACAGAGGGUGCGAGCGUUGUUCGGAAUUAUUGGGCGUAAAGGGCGCGUANGCGGUGCGGUAAGUCACCUGUGAAAUCUCCCGGCUUAACUGGGAGCCUGCAGGCGAAACUACCGUGCUG
rnacentral:rRNA from 1 species